UACGAAGGGGGCUAGCGUUGUUCGGAAUUACUGGGCGUUAAAGCGCGACGCAGGCGGCUAUCCAAGUCAGUGGUGAAAGCCCGGAGCUCAACUCCGGAACUGCCAUUGAAACUGUUAGCUUGAGGACGAGAGAGGUGAGUGGAAUUCCCAGUGUAGAGGUGAAAUUCGUAGAUAUUGGGAAGAACACCGGUGGCGAAGGCGGCUCACUGGCUCGUAUCUGACGCUCAGGCGCGACAGCGUGGGGAUCGAAACAAGG
rnacentral:rRNA from 1 species